rnacentral:rRNA from 1 species
UGGGGAAUUUUGGACAAUGGGGGAAACCCUGAUCCAGCCAUCCCGCGUGUGCGAUGAAGGCCUUCGGGUUGUAAAGCACUUUUGGCAGGAAAGAAACGUCGCGGGUUAAUACCCCGCGAAACUGACGGUACCUGCAGAAUAAGCACCGGCUAACUACGUGCCAGCAGCCGCGGUAAUACGUAGGGUGCAAGCGUUAAUCGGAAUUACUGGGCGUAAAGCGUGCGCAGGCGGUUCGGAAAGAAAGAUGUGAAAUCCCAGAGCUUAACUUUGGAACUGCAUUUUUAACUACCGGGCUAGAGUGUGUCAGAGGGAGGUGGAAUUCCGCGUGUAGCAGUGAAAUGCGUAGAUAUGCGGAGGAACACCGAUGGCGAAGGCAGCCUCCUGGGAUAACACUGACGCUCAUGCACGAAAGCGUGGGGAGCAAACAGGAUUAGAUACCCUGGUAGUCCACGCCCUAAACGAUGUCAACUAGCUGUUGGGGCCUUCGGGCCUUGGUAGCGCAGCUAACGCGUGAAGUUGACCGCCUGGGGAGUGCGGUCGCAAGAUUAAAACUCAAAUGAAUUGCGGGGUCAUAGCUGUUUCCU